rnacentral:rRNA from 1 species
GACGAACGCUGGCGGCGUGCUUAACACAUGCAAGUCGAACGGAAAGGCCCUGCUUUUGUGGGGUGCUCGAGUGGCGAACGGGUGAGUAACACGUGAGUAACCUGCCCUUGACUUUGGGAUAACUUCAGGAAACUGGGGCCAAUACCGGAUAGGAGCUCCUGCUGCAUGGUGGGGGUUGGAAAGUUUCGGUGGUUGGGGAUGGACUCGCGGCUUAUCAGCUUGUUGGUGGGGUAGUGGCUUACCAAGGCUUUGACGGGUAGCCGGCCUGAGAGGGUGACCGGCCACAUUGGGACUGAGAUACGGCCCAGACUCCUACGGUAGGCAGCAGUGGGGAAUAUUGCACAAUGGGCGGAAGCCUGAUGCAGCGACGCCGCGUGCGGGAUGACGGCCUUCGGGUUGUAAACCGCUUUCGCCUGUGACGAAGCGUGAGUGACGGUAAUGGGUAAAGAAGCACCGGCUAACUACGUG